rnacentral:lncRNA from 1 species
AUCAUCUGGUUCACGGUUUCAUCGUCGGGCACCUCAUCUUCCUCCUGCAAGCCAAAGCGGAGCCUUCGGCCUCGGCCCCGGGACCCCCCGGGACCCCCGGGGCAAAUUUGGGGCUUUGGAGCAAUUUGGGGAUUUUUUGGGGUUUUUUUUGCUCAUUUUUGGGCCUUUUUUUGGUUUUUUUUCAGUCAUUUUUGGGUCAUUUAAAUGGAAUUUUUUUGUUUAAUAUUGGGUGGUUUAAAUGGAUUUUUCUGGGAAUUUUUUUGCCCAUUUUUGGGUGCUUUAAAUUGGAUUUUUUGCUCAUUUUUGGGGUUUUUUUUCCCCAUUUUUGGGUGGUUUAAAUUGGAUUUUUUGCUCAUUUUUGGGUGGUUUUAAUGGAAUUUUUUGCUCAUUUUUGAGUGCUUUAAAUGGGAUAUUUUUUGCUCAUUUUUAGGGUUUUAAAUGGGAUUUUUUUUCCUUAUUUCCAACGAUAUUUUUCUCUUUUUUUUAGGCGGUUUCAAUAAUUUUUUAAAAUUAAUUUUUCACUGGUUUAAAUCCUUUUUAAAAUAUUUUUGGGUGCUUUCCAUUCUUUGUAAAUGAGGUUUUUUGCUCAUUUUUGGGUGUUUUAAACUGAAUUUUUUCCCAUUUUUUGGGUGAUUUAAACUGAUUUUUUUCCCAUUUUUUGGGUGUUUUAAACCGAAUUUUUUCCUCAUUUUUAAAUUUUUAUGAUUUUCCCACUUUUUCCUGUAUUUUUCCCCCAUUUUAAUUCAAAUUUCCUCUUUUAUUUUUCCAUUUUCACCCCAUUUCAGGCUGGUUCUAUCUCAAAUUUUUAAUUUUUUUUGUCUCAUUCCCAACUCAAUUUUUGCAUUUUUUGGAAUUUUUAAAUCAAUUUUUGCCGCUUUCAAUUUAUUUUAAAUUUUUCUCCUUUUUAUUCAUUUUUACCAGGCUGAUUUUUUCCCUUUUUUUUUGCAUUUUUAGGUCGAUUUUAAUUGAAUUUUGACAUUUUAAAUUCAUUUUUUUGCCGUUUUUUGGCUAUUUCUAAAUCAUUUUUACCACUUUUUAUUCACUUUAAUUCAUUUUUUCCCCCUUCUGUCCCUUCCAAGCCGUUUUAAUCUGAUUUUUGGUGUUUUCAGUCCACUCCUAAUUCAUUUUUGGCCAUUUCAGGUCAUUUAAAUCUCAUUUUUUGCCCUUCCAGGCCAUUUAAAUUUAAUUUUUUUGCCCUUCCAAGCCAUUAAAAUCUGAUUUUUGGUCAUUUAAAUCUCAUUUUUGGCCAUUAAAUCUCAUUUUUGGCCAUUAAAUCUCAUUUUUUUGCCCUUCCAAGCCACUUAAAUUUCAAUUUUUGGCCAUUGAAAUCCAACUUUU